UUUACAUUCAGAUAAUAAUUAAAUAAAUGUACAUAUCCAAAUUAUCAUUGAAAAAAAAAAUUAUAAAUUCAAAUUUAACAAUCAAUAGUUAUAUAGAAUACAAUAAUAUUUCUUACAUAAAAAAAGUUUACUUAUCUCUCGAAAAGUGCUUAUUUUAUUGAUCCUGAACAAUUGAAAGGGAUAGUUAAAAUCAGGUCAUAAAGAGCUGGGGGGAAAUACUGCAAAGCAUUUUUUCUGUCACUCUAAUGUCCCCUGAAUAGAUAAUGAUUUCAAGGGGGUGGGGUAAGUCAAUUCCAUCAACCUCAGUACUUGUUCUAUCAGCCUCAAAAGGAUGAAAGCAAAGUCGAUCUCUGUGGAAUUUCAACUCUGAACAUAAAGAUGGAUGUUAAAACAGUUCUAUCAGUUCGUUGCCUUGGAAAAAUAAUCAUAAUAAUUCUUUCUAAUUUUGGCAGGAGGCCAGAAAUUAUUGAGGGCAGGAUGAAGUCAGUUCCUUUAACUAUGGUACUCAACUGUGUUACCUUUUUCUACAGCAUUUCACUUUCUGAAGUAAGCAUUUUAUAGACUGCAAUUUCUGAAAAUAUUAGUAGAAUUUCUUCUUGUCAUAUCCUUCGUGUCCUUUUUCUUUUUACGAACUACUUUUUGUGCAAAUUAGGAACUUCAUUUUCUUUUUAAUAACAACUUUUAGAGCUGAGCCUAUUAAAAU
rnacentral:lncRNA from 1 species